UACGGGGGGGGUAAGCGUUGUUCGGAAUUACUGGGCGUAAAGGGCUCGUAGGCGGCCAACUAAGUCGGAUGUGAAAUCCCCAGGCUCAACUUGGGAACUGCAUCCGAUACUGGAUGGCUUGAAUCCGGGAGAGGGAUGCAGAAUUCCAGGUGCAGCGGUGAAAUGCGUAGAUAUCUGGAGGAAUACCGGUGGCGAAGGCGGCAUCCUGGACCGGCAUUGACGCUGAUGAGCGAAAGCUAGGGGAGCAAACGGG
rnacentral:rRNA from 1 species